rnacentral:lncRNA from 1 species
UAUAUCAACGGUUGGGUUUGAAGGCCUGAUUCACCCAAUGAGGUUAUACCACAGAGUUCAUAGGUACGGUAGUUAGUGAUGUUGUGGAACACAUCUUCCAUCCUGGGGAGGCCACUAAAACCAGUGUCCAGGGUUUUGCCUGCAGAAUACUGCACUAUAGAGAGAUGAUUGUUAUACCACCUCCUCUGUUUAGGUUAAAAUGAUGUGACCAAGUGGUAUUAUGUGAGAGGUACACAUCAGACAGCAAGAAUUUAAAGUUGAACACCCCAGUUCUGUCAUAAAACAAAUGAAUAGUCUUUAUGGUGCCCAAGAAGGUUGUUAAUCAUGUUUUCUCCACUGUCAGGACAGAGCUCUCAACAGUUAGGCUUUGUUGGACCUCCGCAGAGGGUAGUUUAUUAUUGUUGGUUGAACACAGGUCACUGUUGUGCCAUCACACAAAUGCACAAACCCAUGCAUGCAAACACAAAUGUAGAUUCAAAUUGUGAUUAAUGUGUUCAUUUCAAAUAUGAACGGCAGUAAUUAAAAAUGAGACAUUCAUCCUAAAACAGUACAAAAACAGUAUGAUUUAAUGAUAUAAGAGCUAUAUUAUUUGAUACUCUAAGAACAGCAUUUUACUAUGUUCCUAUAACUUACUCAAGUACACUUUUACUGUCAUGUAUUUUGCAACUUUUGAAUAUACAUACAUAUGCACAGCAUAAAAUGUUUCUACUUUAAGAUUAACCUGAAUUUUGGAAAUCUGUCUGCAAUUUCAGAUUCAUUUUUUUUAGAUUACUUAUGGAAAAAUAUAUUGGAGAAACAAUAAUCUUGCCACAAUAUUGGGGCUGUAAUUGCUAACAUUUUGCAACCCUUUAUACCUAUAAUCAGUUACGAACGGUUUAGUAAAGUAGGGGAAGACACGCUAAUCGGAUUUCGGUGAAUCGGUUCUUAAGUGGCGCGGGUGGACUCGCGCGGACAGGAGGGAGGAUCUCGUGCGCUUGAGGGAGAAGAUGUGGGAGAGGAGGGGGACGAAAUCAUUCACCACGGCUACAAAACGCUUCCGCCUCAAACACUUCCUUGAAAUUUGCACAAGUUUCCCGAGUGGCGCAAAGCGACGACGGGAGCGUCCACCCAACGCUGUGUGACUCCAGGAGUCAGCAGUCCACUGGGCUCAGCAAGCCUGUGAAGGACAGGAAAGUGAACGCACGCCCAUCUGGACCCCAUCAGGAAGAGGGUGAGUUUUGGUUUUUGCCUCAACCGAUUUGCCUGAAGUCUAAGGCCACACAGGUACGAAUCAGAUGUUCCUUUCUAGGAACUUUUGCCUCAUUUUUGAGGUAUUAUGGGGCACCUCGGUUGAUGUGUCACACUUUCCAAAUGUUUUGCUCUGCAUAGGUCAUAUCGGACGUCUGCUGUGCCUCAAAGUGGGAUUAUUGUUCUAUCUGUAAACAAAAAGAAACAGAUCUCAUAUAAAACUGCAUCUAUUUUAAAUGUAAGUUGUUGUUUCAACAGAAACUGGAGGACCUCAAAGUCUCAAUCUGGAAUCACGGAAGGUGAGUUUUUUUUUUUCAUUUGCAGUUUCAUGUCAGUUACAAGAAUCAUCGAAAUGCUGGGGAAAAGAAUUUCAGUAUGUUAACACAGGCAGUUUGUGAAAGUAAACUUCUCCAUCCGGUGGUCAGUUACACAGCUGAUACCAGUGAAGACACAUCCAUCGGACAGUCAAAAUGUAGUCAUUGUUUGAAUCCAAAACCUCCAACAUGACACCUCCCACAGUGUCUGACUACUGUGAUUUUUAAAUGCUUACCGGCAAUUAGGUGCAAGAGUGCUUCCCCUAAAACAGCUCAUUUAGAAACAAAUGAAUAUGGCUCUGGCAGCUGCACAAAGAAUAAGCCAGCAAUCUGCAUUCAGAGCAGAAUCAGGCCUGCAGAUGGAGCA